rnacentral:rRNA from 1 species
AACAUGUCUAUGUGAAGUGAGAUACAUAGUCUGGCCUGCCCACUGAUGUAAGUAUUGAAGGGCCGCAGUAUAUAUGACUGUGCAAAGGUAGCAUAAUCAUUAGUCUUUUAAUUGGAGGCUUGUAUGAAUGGUUGGACGAGAAAUAAGCUGUCUUUUUCAUAAGUUUUGAAUUUAACUUCUAGGUGAAAAGGCUUAGAUGUUUUUAGGGGACGAUAAGACCCUAUAAAUCUUUACAUUAAUUCUUUUGUUUUGUUUUUUUGUAAGUUGAUAAUUGGUAAUUUGAAUUGAUGUUUUACUGGGGCGGUAUAAAUAAAUUAUGUAACUGUUUGUAUAAAUUACAAUAAUUUUUGAUUUGUUAUUUGAUAGGUCCUUUAUAUAGAUUGAAAGAUAAAGUUACUUUAGGGAUAACAGCGUUAUUUCUUUUAAGAGUUCAUAUCUAAAAAGAAGUUUGCGACCUCGAUGUUGAAUUAGGAUUUCCUUAUGGUUGCAGAAGCUGUAAAGGAAAGUCUGUUCGACUUUUAAAAUUUUACAUGAUUUGAGUUCAGACCGG